AAAUAUUGCUUUGUUAUAAAGAUGACUGCAGUGACAGGGCAGGAAGGGCAUGGGCAUGGGAUGCAAUUUCCUGCUUCUUAGCGGGGGGUUGGACUGGAUGGCUCAUGAGGUCUCUUCCAACCCUACUAUUCUAUGGUAAGUGUUAGAUAGGGCUUUCUAUUUUCCACUAAGCAACUUUCCUGUCUUCUUUGCUUCAGUACACUUUUCUGCUCUUCUGUUUUAGAUUAGAAAUGUUUUCCCUCUUUUUUAACAUCAUAGAAACCUUUUUUGCAUUAGAUGACUAUAAAAGAAGAUGAUAAUAUAAGAUGUUAAAAAGUCCUUAUCUUACACCCAUUCUUGGACCUUCCCACUCCCCAUACUUUAUUAAUAAAAUUAUAUUGCAUAACAACAACAACAACAAUAAUAAAAAGUCUGGGGACCGUACCAUAUGAAGUGCGGCUGGGUUUGUUUGGUCUGCAGAAAAGAACGUUGAGAGGAGUUAUUAUCGCUAAUUUUACAUAUUUCAGAUGAUGUCAUAAAGAAGAGGGAGCAGGCUUGUUUUCUGCUUCCCUGGAGACUAGCUACCUCAUCACAAUGGAGUUUUUGACCUUUUUGCUCCUCUUUGGCCGCAAGGGCUGUCUAGUGCCAUCACAAGAUGCAGGCCAUAGCCCUGCCCCAUUCAUUGCCAAAGUGGUGAGAAAGCACUGCAAAAUGCUUCCUCACCAUCAACGGAAGUUAUAAAAUCAUUGGAACGUGCUACAUGGGUCCUGAAGUCCAACUCUCUCCUUAAUGUAGGAUCUCCAGAUAAACAUCCCCAGCAGAUUGUUUUACAGCCUUUUUCUGAAGAUGUUCAGAGAAGAUCCCACCACCUCUCUAGUUAAUUGUUUCUUCAAUGGUUCUUUCAACCGUAACUAGGAUUGUACAACUGUAGAGCUGUCUGCAUUUGUCUUGAGCACUGAGAACAUAAAUCAAAGCACCACCAGUCUUUGGCAGUCAAUAAAGGAGAAAACACUGUCUGAAUCCAAACAGUCUUCUUUAACAAACUCUGAGACUGAUGAUUGAUAAAGAAGUCCUGUAAUUUUGGCCACUUUGGUUGAAGUAGAGGCCACAAAGAUUUCCUGCAGUGAUCAAAGAGGAAUUCACAAAACCCUGCCUCAUGAUCCUUAUGUUUCUUUAGGCACAUGGACUAACAGGAUGACUGCCCCAGUAACUGCAUACCAGAAAUCGGUAACUGCGCUUCAGAUUUCGGUAUCCGCAACUCGGCUCUCACUAUCCGUGGCUGUUUUAAAUUGCUCUAUGUCAAGCUGAUAAGGAUUUUAAAAUAACAAAUAAUAGGACUUAACUCGUUGAAGAAUAAUUAUAAACAUAUGAAAAUUCAUUGAA